UACGUAGGGGGCAAGCGUUAUCCGGAUUUACUGGGUGUAAAGGGAGCGUAGACGGCACGGCAAGCUAGAUGUGAAAGCCCGGGGCUCAACCCCGGGACUGCAUUUGGAACUGCUGAGCUAGAGUGUCGGAGAGGCAAGUGGAAUUCCUAGUGUAGCGGUGAAAUGCGUAGAUAUUAGGAGGAACACCAGUGGCGAAGGCGGCUUGCUGGACGAUGACUGACGUUGAGGCUCGAAAGCGUGGGGAGCAAACAGG
rnacentral:rRNA from 1 species